CCUACGGGGGGCAGCAGUGGGGAAUAUUGGACAAUGGGCGAAAGCCUGAUCCAGCCAUGCCGCGUGUGUGAAGAAGGCCUUCGGGUUGUAAAGCACUUUCAGUGGGGAAGAAAGCCUUGGGGCUAAUACCCUCGAGGAAGGACAUCACCCACAGAAGAAGCACCGGCUAACUCCGUGCCAGCAGCCGCGGUAAUACGGAGGGUGCGAGCGUUAAUCGGAAUUACUGGGCGUAAAGCGCGCGUAGGCGGUCUGAUAAGCCGGUUGUGAAAGCCCCGGGCUCAACCUGGGAACGGCAUCCGGAACUGUCAGGCUAGAGUGCAGGAGAGGAAGGUAGAAUUCCCGGUGUAGCGGUGAAAUGCGUAGAGAUCGGGAGGAAUACCAGUGGCGAAGGCGGCCUUCUGGACUUACACUGACGCUGAGGUGCGAAAGCGUGGGUAGCAAACAGGAUUAGAUACCCCAGUAGUC
rnacentral:rRNA from 1 species